GAUGAACGCUGGCGGCGUGCCUAAUACAUGCAAGUCGAGCGAACAGAUAAGGAGCUUGCUCCUUUGACGUUAGCGGCGGACGGGUGAGUAACACGUGGGUAACCUACCUAUAAGACUGGAAUAACUCCGGGAAACCGGGGCUAAUGCCGGAUAACAUUUAGAACCGCAUGGUUCUAAAGUGAAAGAUGGUUUUGCUAUCACUUAUAGAUGGACCCGCGCCGUAUUAGCUAGUUGGUAAGGUAACGGCUUACCAAGGCAACGAUACGUAGCCGACCUGAGAGGGUGAUCGGCCACACUAGAACUGAGACACGGUCCAGACUCCUACGGGAGGCAGCAGUAGGGAAUCUUCCGCGAUGGGCGAAAGCCUAACGGAGCAACGCCGCGUGAGUGAUGAAGGUCUUCGGAUCGUAAAACUCUGUUAUUAGGGAAGAACAAAUGUGUAAGUAACUGUGCACGUCUUGACGGUACCUAAUCAGAAAGCCACGGCUAACUACGUG
rnacentral:rRNA from 1 species